UCAGCUCCCCCUUGGAAUCUGCUGUAAAAAAGAAUUACUAGCUAGUAUAGUAUAUAUCGUCCUCAUUCACCUUUUUUCACCCUCCGUGGUGGAAUUGGAAGCACGGCGCCCUUGUUUUGUUUUUUCACCGCAUAGGACGGACGGAAGGACCGCGUAUUGAUUACUGCAACGGCCAACGGCCGUCGGCCGGCCAGGCAACCAGCUGGCGUUCCGUCGCAGACAACUAGCCUUGGGUUGGGGUAGCAUAGCGAGGAGGCGUACGGGGACGCCGGUGCACGGGCGGACAAGUGACUGGUGGUGUGGCGCCCGCUGCCCACGCGGCGACGGGGACCGGAGGCAGCGGCGGUGGGUGGAGCAGGGAGGAAUUGACAACACGGGUCUUGACUCUAGGUGCUUGUCCACUUUCUCACCGCCGCUGGGUAGGCAAGCGCCCAUCCUAUCUAUGAUUAUUGCCUCUCGCCUCGCCUACCUCCCCCUCGCUCGCUCCCACGAGUCGUCCAGGCGCAGCAGUCACCAUCGUCGUUGAUCCCCCUCGCCUUCUCGAUUACGGCUUACUACGUUGCGCCCACACUGACCGCGCGCCACUGGCCGGCUCUGGCUCCUGGUUGGUUUGCACGAUCUGCUGCUGGCCUCUUCGGCUCUUCCUAGUUUUGGACAGGUUUUAGGUUCAGCUGCAUCGCUCUUCAGUUCACGUGACAGCAAAAACACACACAUGUGACACAAACACACACGGUUUAUUUAAACGAUAGUUUGAGCCGGGGCUGCACAGUUCAGAGCUCCGCUUCCGCAGCCGGCAGUCGCCACGCCACCCGCCACCGUCCUGUUGUUUAUGCAUACGCACAGGAGCACAGCACAGGCGACCCACUGCACUGGUCUGUGGUAUGGUCUGUGGUCAUCACUCCCAGCUCCCAAGCUGAGACCUGAAGAAGAAAGAGAGAGGCCCGUGUCUCUCCUCUCCUCUCCUCCUGCUCACUCCUCGCCAUCAUUCAGCUCUUCCCCAACCUUUUCCUUCUCCCCCAUAGGGAGCGCGGCGCGGGAGGGCCUGUGCUCCUGCUUGCUUUCGUGGUGUUGCUGCUGCUUUUCCUCUUUGUUAAAAGGCUGCUCCCUCCGUCUCCUGUCAUCUCCCCUUUCUCUCUUCUCAAUUCUCAUCGCGCUGGCUUCGCUUGGCUGCUAAGGUCAAAUAGCCAUCCAUCUGUCCAUACGCCUCUUUCCCUUUCUCUUUCCUCUUUAACCCCCCUACGAGGCUCCGGUCUCAGGGCGCUUCGCAUGGCCAUGGCCUCCGCGGUGGCUCCGGCUCCUCCCCUUGCCAGCGACGACCAAACCGGGCAAAAGCGCCGCCAAAUCUGCAUCUGACCUCCCCACCACCAAAUACCCAACCAGCACCACCCACCGCCUUCUGCUUUCUUUCUUUCUCGCUCCUUACAGCAACACAUAGCGCUCAGCUCACACCUCACAGUCAGCUCAGGCUCAUCUUCUCAGCGAGUUAGCAGCAGCAGCUUGAGGCCCAGCCGCGGCUGCCUGCGCGCAAGCAUAAUGGAGAGCAGAUGGCGGAAGGCCAAGAUGUCGCUAGGGCUCAACCUCUGCGUCUACGUGCCCCGGACGCUGGAAGGCGACGACGCGGCCAGCUCGCCCGACACCGCCUCCUCCACGGCGGCGCUCGUGUCGCCGGUGGCCUCCUCCUCGUCCGCCGCGACGAGCACCAACACCACCCCCACGGCCGCUUCGGCGGACCAGAGCAGCGCCAGCGGCAAGGUGCUCAUGCCCACCACCCCGACGCCGACGUCCGCCGGGCUCCGCCUCUCCAAAUCCGGCAGCAAAUCAUUCAAGGUACCGUCCGUCAUCCCGUCUCCGUCCAUCCGCCCAUCGAUGGAUCCACUAAAGGUCGCAGCUUGCCAAGAUCCACUCAUGUGAAACUCCAAAAGAUCACUCUUCUUGCUCUGCUAAUUCCUUUUGGUCCUUCAACUGCAGUAGCAGCCUAGCUGGUCAGCUCCAAACAAGAAAAAUAUAUACUUAUUUAUUUACAUCAGCAGCAGCAGCAAGUGUUCAUUCAGGCUGCAGCAGCUGUACACCUGCGCUGCGAUGUUCUUUUGCUCAAAAUGAUGCGUGCAACAGUGCUACCAGUAGCUUUCAUCACACACCCGCACACGCACAAGGGAGCAUCACUUGUAGAAAAAGGGGAUGCAGGAGGAGGUGGCGAUGGUGGAGGAAUAUCAUCAUGGAGUGGGGGGAGAUUGUCACUCUUUAACCCGUGGGGUCCUCCACCACUCCUCCCUGCUCUCACAUUACACAUAGUCCAUACUCCAUAAUCGAUAGGAUAUAUCCCUCUCCCGUCUGUUCCAAAAUAGUUGACGUCUGAGUCAAACUUCUCUAACAAAAAAAUAUAUAAAAAAUAUUGGCAAUAUUUAUAUCUCCAAAUAAAUUUAUUGCAAAAAUAGAUUUAAUGUUAUAUCUAACAUGUACUAUAAAUAUUAAUAUUUUCUUUAUAUAUUUGAUAAAAUAUAUAAAUAAAUGACUCUUAAAAUCGAUAAGAGUCAACUAUUUUUAGACAGUGCCAAGUAGCCAUAGUCCACCACCACCCUACCCUCUCUGGCCCUCUCCUAUUCAUCAUUCACUUUUUUCCCUCUCCCCUUUUCUCCUCCAUAGCCUGCCCUGUCGCUUCACUUCUUUUUGUGGAGGCAUAGCAUCCUUUUCAGAACAGCUACGACUACGACACUGUUCUCAGAUCCCUUGUGCGUUCUUGCUCCAAACAUGCAUGUUGCUGCCACAGGAAUUCUACGGAUUCCCGAGAGCCCACCACCGGCUCGCUUUGGGGCGCCCUGAUGACAGAAUUGCAAAAGAAAGUAUUCUGAUCAUGGCCCAGUUGCAAACCUGCAAUCCUUAUUAAAUUGCAACGUCUGCAGUCGGACACCCUGCUAGUGAUUGGUUUCCAAACUGCUUGUCUGAUGUCAUGGCCCCUUUAUUCUUCUUUUGGUGGUUUAGCCCGUCAGCAAUGACUAGUUCUGAUUAACGCAUCUAAUUGGAUGAUCAAUAUUAAGAUUAGUUUGACCAUGUGCUGCUUAUGCCAACACGACUGAUUGUUGUAGAUAUUCUCUUCGCAAACCAUGUUGCUUCGAUAUAAAUUUCAGAACGGCUGCUUUCUGGCUGCAAGUCUGAAACUGCGGCAUAUGACCACAGUUUUGGAUCAGCCAUGACAGCACUUGAAGUAUAGAGUACUCCUUUAGGACCAAAGUAUCAAACAAUUUAUCUGACUUAUUUCCUCACUGUAUUUCUGGUUUAAUGUCUCUGUCUUCUUUACAUGUUUUUACAAUUCUCAGAGUAUAUGUCAUUAUGUCUAUUUCUUAUUCUUAUACUUUUCAACCCCUUUUUUUUCCAGAAAACAUGUGCCAUAUGCUUGACCACAAUGAAGCCUGGUCAGGGCCAUGCUCUCUUCACAGCAGAGUGCUCACACACUUUCCACUUCCAUUGUAUUUCGGCAAAUGUUAAGCACGGAAGCAGCAGCUGCCCAGUGUGUCGUAUCAAAUGGAAGGAGCUCCCAUUUCGAGGUCCCUUGCCUGCUGAAUUACCUCAAGGAAAUGCGAGGAUUAAUCCAGUUAAUGGGUACCAAAAUGGAGGCCAUAUGAACAUAUUGCGUCCACUUCCUCGUGCACGCUCUUCUGGCCGGCUUCAUCAUCUGGCCACGUUGCUGCCUGACACUGACCCUAGUACUUUCAACGAUGAUGAACCCUUGGACUUGUCGUCUGAAGAGGCUAAUGACAAUCAUCAGGGCUGUUUGAGAACAGUAGAGAUAAAAACAUAUCCAGAGUUCACUGAAGUACCUGAAAAUACAUCAGAAAGAAACUUCACUGUUCUGAUUCACCUUAAGGCACCGGUUGCUCAGCACCUGCAGCCAUCCAGCAAUCUCGGAGAUGGCAACGGGCUAAGUACAGCCCGUGCCCCUGUUGAUCUCAUCACAGUUCUUGAUGUCAGUGGAAGUAUGGCUGGUACCAAACUUGCAUUGUUGAAGAGGGCUAUGGGAUUUGUCAUUCAGAAUCUUGGAUCCUCUGACCGGCUUUCCGUCAUCGCCUUCUCAUCAUCCGCACGUAGGCUCUUCCCACUCCGUAGGAUGACUGAGUCUGGUCGGCAGCAGAGCUUGCUGGCUGUUAAUUCACUGACGUCAAAUGGAGGGACCAAUAUUGCAGAGGCCCUCAGGAAGGGCUCCAAGGUGAUCGAAGAGCGACAGGCCAAGAAUCCAGUCUGCAGCAUCAUCCUCUUGUCAGAUGGUCAAGAUACCUACACGGUCUCACCAACUGCUGGCGUACACAAAGGAGCACCAGAGUAUUGUGCGCUCUUGCCGUCCACUAACGGUAACCAGCAGGUACCUGUUCAUGUCUUUGGAUUCGGUGCUGACCAUGACUCCGUCUCGCUGCACUCCAUCUCACAAACUUCUGGUGGCACCUUCUCAUUCAUCGAGACAGAGGCCGCUAUCCAAGAUGCAUUUGCUCAGUGCAUUGGUGGACUUUUGAGUGUGGUUGCACAAGGUCUGCAUGUAAAGGUGGAGAGCCUCCACCCCGACGUGCACUUUGGCUCCAUCAGAUCAGGCAGCUAUUCUAGCAGGGUUUCAGAUGAUAAGAGGAAUGGGUCCAUAGAUGUUGGGGACCUGUAUGCUGAAGAAGAAAGGGAUUUUCUUGUGUCUGUAAACGUCCCACCAGGCUACGGGGAAACAGCACUCCUCAAGGUUGGCUGCGUCUACAAAGACCCACUGAUGAAGGAGACCGUGAAUAUGGCUGAUGUGCAAGUGAAGAUCUCCAGGCCAGCAUUCGUCUCGGUACAAAGCGUGUCGAUCGAGGUGGACCGCCAGAAGAACCGCCUCCAUGCAGCCGAGGUGAUGGCUGAAGCAAGGUUUUCUGCAGAGCGCGGUGACCUGACCACCGCUGUUUCUCUACUCGAGGACUGCCGGAGGAUGAUCAUGGGGUCGGCGUCAGGACAGUCUGGUGACCGUCUGUGCCAGGCACUGGAUGCCGAGCUGAAGGAGAUGCAGGAUCGGAUGGCCAACCGGCAGAGGUACGAGGCGUCCGGUCGAGCAUAUGUGCUCUCAGGCUUGAGCUCGCACUCAUGGCAGAGGGCAACCGCCCGCGGGGACUCGACGGACAGCGAGAGCCUGAUCCAAGCCUACCAGACUUCGUCCAUGGUGGACAUGCUGCUUCGCUCGCAGACAAUGAGCCGCUCAUCGACUCCUCGACCAACGCCACAGAUGAGGCACGCUAAGUCAUUCCCGGCACGCCCGCAGCCAAGGUAACUGCUAUUUGGUGUCACCAAGGAUUUGCCUGAAGCCUAAUUUGCUUGCCGAUGGGCGUAGUAGCGCCCUCUAAAUUCUUAGUUUUGUGGCGGGAGGACGGGACCAGGGUAUAGUUUGUGUGGGUACAAGGGGAUGUAAUGGUGUAAAUUUGAUCUGGGGUGGUGGAGGUAAAUGGUGAGAGGGGUAAGGUAUUUUAUAAUUGAGGGGGUCGGGGAUGGUAUACGUCCUGGGGAGAAUUGGGCAGGAGGGUGGUGAACUGGUAUACUCUAGUAUUGUACUAGCUCCUUCGUGUGGUGAUGUACAUAAGGGAAGGGUAUACAUUUGUGGACUCUUUGAGGAGGGAUGGAUACCUAAUCCUGAUCCCGAUCCUUGCAAUGUUUGUUUCCUCAGCCUGGAAAAGGACUAAGGUUUGUUGCCUCUUUCUGGAAAUGGAAUUGAUGAUGAUCCUGGGUAUUUUUUCCUUGUGCCUAGAAAAAAAUCUGGUUACUUGAUCAAUGAUCAUGUUGUGUUCCAGCUUGCAAGGAAAAAAUUGGAGGCGCUGCUAGAUGCUAUUACUGAUUGACGUUUUGGAAAUGCUUCGGUUACAAUGAGCACUGCUUACUUUUUUUGCUGUUGUUGAUCCUACCUCCGUCAAACAAAGAAACUUGGACGUUUCACGAUAGUUCUAACAAAAACUAUCCUAAAUCUAGCAAAAUUUUACAGAGAAAAAGGUAUGAGCAAGCCUCAUCGGAAAAUAAAAAACGGUCCCUAAACUUAACUCGGUUCAGCGAGAUCGAAGGACGUGAAAUAUGUAGAGAUACCGACCCCAUGCCGAGAAAUUGUAGGGAUCAUCUGACCUGAUUGUAAGAGGCGGGGUCGUCGUGAGGCGCAGUCGGUUUUCCUACAGCCUAUCCGGCCACCGGAACUGUCCAUUGGCGCCGGGGAUUCAAGCUGGCCGCGAGAAGGGGUAAUCCUGCGCUCGCCGCCAAUGCGCCGCCCCUGUCGGCAGCAAAUAAAACCCACGGCAGCGGCGCACUGCCGUGCCGAGUGCGGCGAGGGGGAGCCGGAACCGGACGGAGUCUAGCCGUCUAGCGGACCGAAUUUUUUUGUAUUAUGU
rnacentral:lncRNA from 1 species